GACAAGUGACGACGGGUGUCA
rnacentral:siRNA from 1 species